UCUGCCCCUAGAGGUAUACAGGUGUGGCUGCUGUGUCACAUGUGUGUCAAUAGGUGGCAGAGAGGAGAGGCUAUGUCUACACUCAGUGUCCUGACCUGUGAACAGACCCUCUAGGCAAGCCCA
rnacentral:snoRNA from 1 species